rnacentral:rRNA from 1 species
AACCGGAUUAGAUACCCUGGUAGUCCACGCUGUAAACGGUGGGUACUAGGUGUGGGGUCCAUUCCACGGGUUCCGUGCCGUAGCUAACGCUUUAAGUACCCCGCCUGGGGAGUACGGCCGCAAGGCUAAAACUCAAAGGAAUUGACGGGGCCCCGCACAAGCGGCGGAGCAUGCGGAUUAAUUCGAUGCAACGCGUAGAACCUUACCUGGGUUUGACAUGGAUCGGGAGUGCUCAGAGAUGGGUGUGCCUCUUUUGGGGUCGGUUCACAGGUGGUGCAUGGCUGUCGUCAGCUCGUGUCGUGAGAUGUUGGGUUAAGUCCCGCAACGAGCGCAACCCUUGUUCACUGUUGCCAGCACGUUAUGGUGGGGACUCAGUGGAGACCGCCGGGGUCAACUCGGAGGAAGGUGGGGAUGACGUCAAGUCAUCAUGCCCCUUAUGUCCAGGGCUUCACGCAUGCUACAAUGGCUGGUACAGAGAGUGGCGAGCCUGUGAGGGUGAGCGAAUCUCGGAAAGCCGGUCUCAGUUCGGAUUGGGGUCUGCAACUCGACCUCAUGAAGUCGGAGUCGCUAGUAAUCGCAGAUCAGCAACGCUGCGGUGAAUACGUUCCCGGGGCUUGUACACACCGCCCGUCAAGUCAUGAAAGUUGGUAACACCCGAAGCCGGUGGCCUGACCGUUGUGGGGGAGCCGUCGAAGGUGGGACUGGUGAUUAGGACUAAGUCGUAACAAGGUAGCCGUA